CAAGCAGAUAGUUUGGACCCAACAGGGAGUAAGCUGUGAACGAUCGGAGGCGCUAGAUCGAAAGUAGCCGCGUCGCAGCGCCGACUGACCGACCGAGCGAGAGUGCAGAAGAAGGAGAGAAGUUUUGUGAUCCUCGUCGUUACUGGCCCAGUGAGCCGUUCCUGCCACUUCGCGGAUGAAGAAGUAAAAUAUGUACUUCACGACCAGAACUGCCAGUUAAUUAUUACUGGUGAAGUUCCUAAAUUAGUCAAGUCUCGUCAGCCGUAGGGAGGCCGUGGUGGAAAACACGGGCCAAGAAUAUCGAAUACAAGGUGUUAGUGUUGACAUUUGUUUUGUUUUUCUCUCGAAAACUGGAAGCCGUUUAAAAAUAUCCCAUAGUUUUGUGGGUUCAAACCAGGGCUCCUGAAGAGAAUACGAAACAUCGAGCAAUUAGUGAAGGGAUCAUCAAAAAUAAGUAGCAAAAAGUGUUCAAGUGUUGGUUUUCUUUUUUGGGUGCAAGACGCUCGGUGACAGUGACGACGAAGAGUUCAAAUUUCGGCGGACGGUGUAACGGCCUAAAGCUGGCCACGGUUCGCUGUUAGGAGUACCCGAGCGAGCCCUAGGUCUAGGGCUUCCGGGGCGGCCUCCAACAUGGGCACCCCAGUGAAAUGACUUUCCAACCCAGUUGCAACAUACAGGACAGUUCCGGGCUAGUGCUACAAUUAUAUACUGACGUAAAGGAAACUCUCUGGAACAAAUCGGAAAUGAUGAAACUUGUCUGACAAAUGAACCUGUAAGAUAUUGGC